rnacentral:lncRNA from 1 species
AUGUGUAGAGGAGCGCAGCUCCCCAUCUACCACCACCAACACCUCCUCCUCCUUCUCCCACCACCACCUCCUCCUUCUCCCCCAUCUACCACUACCACCACCUCCUCCUUCUCCCACAUCUACCACCACCACACUCUCCUUCUCCCCCAUCUACCACCACCACCACCACCACCCUCUCCUUCUCCCCCAUCUACCACCACCACCACCUCCUCCUUCUCCCCCAUCUACCACCACCACCACCUCCUCCACACUCUUCCUCCUACUCCCCCAUCUACCACCACCACAUCCUCCUCACUCUUCCUCCUUCUCCCCAUCUACCACCACCACAUCCUCCUCACUCUUCCUCCUUCUCCCCCAUCUACCACCACCACUACCACCUCCUACUCACUCUUUCUCCUUCUCCCCCAUCUACCACCACCACCACCUCCUCCUCACUCUUCCUCCUUCUCCCCCAUCUACCACCACCACCACCUCCUCACUCUUGCUCCUUCUCCCCAUCUACUACCACCACCACCUCCUCCUUCUCCCCCAUCUACCACCACCUCCUCCACACUCUUCCUCCUUCUCCCCCAUCUACCACCACCUCCUCCACACUCUUCCUCCUUCUCCCCCAUCUACCACCACCACCUCCACACUCUUCCUCCUACUCCCCCAUCUACCACCAACUCCACUCCUCCACACUCUUCCUGCUCCCCCAUCUACCACCACCACCACCACCUCCACACUCUUCCUCCUACUCCCCCAUCUACCACCACCUCCACUCCUCCACACUCUUCCUCCUUCUCCCCCAUCUACCACCACCUCCUGCAAACUCUUCCUCCUUCUCCCCCAUCUACCACCACCACCACCACCUCCUCCACACUCUUCCUCCUUCUCCCCCAUCUACCACCACCACCUCCUCCUCCACACUCUUCCUCCUACUCCGCCAUCUACCACCACCACCUCCUCCACGCUCUUCCUCCUUCUCCCCCAUCUACCACCACCACCACCUCCUCCACACUCUUCCUCCUUCUCCCCCAUCUACCACCACCUCCUCCACACCCUUCCUCCUUCUCCCCCAUCUACCACCACCUCCUCCACACUCUUCUUCCUUCUCCCCCAUCCACCACCACCUCCUCCACACUCUUCCUCCUUCUCCCCCAUCUACCACCACCACCUCCUCCACAUUCUUCCUCCUCCCCCAUCUACCACCACCACCUCCUCCACGCUCUUCCUCCUUCUCCCCCAUCUACCACCACCACCUCCUCCUCCACACUCUUCCUCCUUCUCCCCCAUAUUCCACCACCACCUCCUCCACGCUCUUCCUCCUUCUCCCCCAUCUACCACCACCUCCUCCUGCACACUCUUCCUCCAUCCUCGUCCUCUUCCUCCUUCUCCCCCAUCUACUACCACCACCACCACCUCCUCCACACUCUUCCUCCUUCUCCCCCAUCUACUACCACCACCACCACCUCCUCCACACUCUUCCUCCUUCUCCCCCAUCUACCACCACCACCUCCUCCACACUCUUCCUCCAUCCUCGUCCUCUUCCUCCUUCUCCCCCAUCUACCACCACCACCACCACACUCUUCCUCCAUCCUCGUCCUCUUCCUCCUUCUCCCCCAUCUACCACCACCACCACCACACUCUUCCUCCUUCUCCCCCAUCUACCACCACCACCACCACCUCCACACUCUCCCUCCAUCCUCGUCCUCUUCCUCCUUCUCCCCCAUCUACCACCACCACCACCUCCUCCAGGCUCUUCUUCCAUCCUCUUCCUCCUUCUCCCCCAUCUACCACCACCACCACCCCCUCCACGCUCUUCCUCCAUCCUCGUCCUCAUCCUCCUUCUCCCCCAUCUACCACCACCUCCUCCACACUCUCCCUCCAUCCUCAUCCUCUUCCUCCUUCUCCCUCAUCUACCACCACCACCACCUCCUCCACGCUCUUCCUCCAUCCUCAUCCUCUUCCUCCUUCUCCCUCAUCUACCACCACCACCUCCUCCACACUCUUCCUCCAUCCUCAUCCUCUUCCUCCUUCUCCCGCAUCUACCACCACCACCACCUCCUCCACGCUCUUCCUCCAUCCUCAUCCUCUUCCUCCUUCUCCCUCAUCUACCACCACCACCACCUCCUCCACGCUCUUCCUCCAUCCUCAUCCUCUUCCUCCUUCUCCCUCAUCUACCACCACCACUACCUUCUCCACGCUCUUCCUCCAUCCUCUUCCUCCUUCUCCCUCAUCUACCACCACCACCACCACCACCUCCUCCACGCUCUUCCUCCAUCCUCAUCCUCUUCCUCCUCCCUCAUCUACCACCAGCACCUCCUCCUCCACGCUCUUCCUCCAUCCUCAUCCUCUUCCUUCUGCUCCCUCAUCUACCACCUCCUCCUCCUCUCCAGUACUAUAUCAGCUGACUCAUUAGUCUGGCCUUAUGCUCCUAUGUCCAUUAGGGCCAGCCAUUACUCAGCCCUGCAGCCUGUGUGUGACCCUGUAUGCCCAAGCUGCAGGGCUGAGUUAAUAACUUCUCUCUCCCUGUCACCCCCAGAGCAGCAGCAGGAAGGGGGUCGCCAGAGAGGGGGGCUGGGGAGGAGGGGGGUGUCCUGCUCUCUCUGUGUCUGA